UACGUACUGGGCGAACGUUAUUCGGAAUUACUGGGCGUAAAGCGCGCGUAGGUGGCGUGAUAAGCCGGUUGUGAAAGCCCCGGGCUCAACCUGGGAACGGCAUCCGGAACUGUCAGGCUAGAGUGCAGGAGAGGAGGGUAGAAUUCCCGGUGUAGCGGUGAAAUGCGUAGAGAUCGGGAGGAAUACCAGUGGCGAAGGCGGUCUUCUGGACUGACACUGACACUGAGGUGCGAAAGCGUGGGUAGCAAACAGG
rnacentral:misc_RNA from 1 species